rnacentral:rRNA from 1 species
CGCGAAGAACCUUACCAGGUCUUGACAUCCUUUGACCACCUAAGAGAUUAGGCUUUCCCUUCGGGGACAAAGUGACAGGUGGUGCAUGGCUGUCGUCAGCUCGUGUCGUGAGAUGUUGGGUUAAGUCCCGCAACGAGCGCAACCCUUAUUGUUAGUUGCCAUCAUUCAGUUGGGCACUCUAGCGAGACUGCCGCAGACAAUGCGGAGGAAGGUGGGGAUGACGUCAAAUCAUCAUGCCCCUUAUGACCUGGGCUACACGCGUGCUACAAUGGAGAGUACAACGAGUUGCGAAGUCGUGAGGCUAAGCUAAUCUCUUAAAAGCUCUUCUCAGUUCGGAUUGUAGGCUGCAACUCGCCUACAUGAAGCCGGAAUCGCUAGUAAUCGCGGAUCAGCACGCCGCGGUGAAUACGUUCCCGGGUCUUGUACACACC